rnacentral:rRNA from 1 species
UACGUAGGGGGCAAGCGUUGUCCGGAUUUAUUGGGCGUAAAGAGCGUGUAGGCGGCCAAGUAAGUCUGCUGUGAAAACUCGAGGCUUAACCUCGAGCUGUCGGCGGAAACUAUUUGGCUAGAGUCCGGAAGAGGAGAAUGGAAUUCCCGGUGUAGCGGUGAAAUGCGCAGAUAUCGGGAAGAACACCCGUGGCGAAGGCGGUUCUCUGGGACGGUACUGACGCUGAGACGCGAAAGCGUGGGUAGCAAACAGG